rnacentral:rRNA from 1 species
UACGGAGGGGGCUAGCGUUGUUCGGAAUUACUGGGCGUAAAGCGCACGUAGGCGGCUUUGCAAGUUAGAGGUGAAAGCCCGGGGCUCAACUCCGGAAUUGCCUUUAAAACUGCAUCGCUAGAAUUGUGGAGAGGUAAGUGGAAUUCCCAGUGUAGAGGUGAAAUUCGUAGAUAUUGGGAAGAACACCGGUGGCGAAGGCGGCUCACUGGCUCAUUUCUGACGCUCAGGCGCGACAGCGUGGGGAUCAAACAGG